UAGGGAAUCUUCCACAAUGGACGCAAGUCUGAUGGAGCAACGCCGCGUGAGUGAAGAAGGUUUUCGGAUCGUAAAGCUCUGUUGUUGGUGAAGAAGGAUAGAGGUAGUAACUGGCCUUUAUUUGACGGUAAUCAACCAGAAAGUCACGGCUAACUACGUGCCAGCAGCCGCGGUAAUACGUAGGUGGCAAGCGUUGUCCGGAUUUAUUGGGCGUAAAGCGAGCGCAGGCGGAAGAAUAAGUCUGAUGUGAAAACCCUCGGCUUAACCGAGGAACUGCAUCGGAAACUGUUUUUCUUGAGUGCAGAAGAGGAGAGUGGAAUUCCAUGUGUAGCGGUGGAAUGCGUAGAUAUAUGGAAGAACACCAGUGGCGAAGGCGACUCUCUGGUCUGCAACUGACGCUGAGGCUCGAAAGCAUGGGUAGCGAACAGG
rnacentral:rRNA from 1 species